CUAAGUAUAAGCAAUUUAUACAGUGAAACUGCGAAUGGCUCAUUAAAUCAGUUAUCGUUUAUUUGAUAGUACCUUUACUACUUGGAUAACCGUGGUAAUUCUAGAGCUAAUACAUGCUAAAAAUCCCGACUGUUUGGAAGGGAUGUAUUUAUUAGAUAAAAAAUCAAUGCUCUUUGAGCUCUUUGAUGAUUCAUAAUAACUUUUCGAAUCGCAUGGCCUUGUGCUGGCGAUGGUUCAUUCAAAUUUCUGCCCUAUCAACUUUCGAUGGUAGGAUAGUGGCCUACCAUGGUUUCAACGGGUAACGGGGAAUAAGGGUUCGAUUCCGGAGAGGGAGCCUGAGAAACGGCUACCACAUCCAAGGAAGGCAGCAGGCGCGCAAAUUACCCAAUCCCGACACGGGGAGGUAGUGACAAUACAUAACGAUACAGGGCCCUUUCGGGUCUUGUAAUUGGAAUGAGUACAAUGUAAAUACCUUAACGAGGAACAAUUGGAGGGCAAGUCUGGUGCCAGCAGCCGCGGUAAUUCCAGCUCCAAUAGCGUAUAUUAAAGUUGUUGCAGUUAAAAAGCUCGUAGUUGAACUUUGGGCUUGGUUGGCCGGUCCGCCUUUUUGGCGAGUACUGGACCCAACCGAGCCUUUCCUUCUGGCUAACCAUUCGCCCUUGUGGUGUUUGGCGAACCAGGACUUUUACUUUGAAAAAAUUAGAGUGUUCAAAGCAGCCUUUGCUCGAAUAUAUUAGCAUGAAAUAAUAGAAUAGGACGUUAUGGUUCUAUUUUGUUGGUUUCUAGGACCAUCGUAAUGAUUAAUAGGGACGGUCGGGGGCAUCAGUAUUCAGUUGUC
rnacentral:rRNA from 1 species